GCGAAAAAUAAUUUUUUAUUUUCAAUUUUCCUGCCUCUGCCACGGCUACAGCCACUGCCACAGCCACUCUCUCUGUUCCCGAAAUGGAAAGUACAAGUUUUUGGUGUUGGCCAAAUGAUGGGCAAAAACCAAUUUGAUUUUGAAUACGUUAUGAGGCGCAAAAAUAAGAUGAAAACAAAGUGUGAAAAAAAUCCGGAAAAAGAUCGUAAAAAUAAACACC
rnacentral:lncRNA from 1 species